rnacentral:rRNA from 1 species
GAUGAACGCUGGCGGCGUGCCUAAUACAUGCAAGUCGAGCGAACAGACGAGGAGCUUGCUCCUCUGACGUUAGCGGCGGACGGGUGAGUAACACGUGGAUAACCUACCUAUAAGACUGGGAUCACUUCGGGAAACCGGCGCUAAUACCGGAUAAUAUAUUGAACCGCAUGGUUCAAUAGUGAAAGACGGUUUUGCUGUCACUUAUAGAUGGAUCCGCGCCGCAUUAGCUAGUUGGUAAGGUAACGGCUUACCAAGGCGACGAUGCGUAGCCGACCUGAGAGGGGGAUGGGCCACUGUGGAAGUGAGCCGCGGCCCAGACACUGACGGGAGGCAGAAGCAGCGAAGCUUCCGAAAAGGGGGAAAGACUGACGGAGCAACGCAGCGUGAGUGAUGAAGGUCUUCGGAUCGUAAAACGCUGUUAUUAGGGAAGACCAAAUGUGUAAGUAACUAUGCGCGUCUUGCCGGAACCUAAUCAGAAAGCCCCGGUAAAUUACGG